UACGUAGGUGGCGAGCGUUGUCCGGAUUUACUGGGCGUAAAGGGAGCGUAGGCGGACUUUUAAGUGAGAUGUGAAAUACUCGGGCUCAACUUGAGUGCUGCAUUUCAAACUGGAAGUCUAGAGUGCAGGAGAGGAGAAUGGAAUUCCUAGUGUAGCGGUGAAAUGCGUAGAGAUUAGGAAGAACACCAGUGGCGAAGGCGAUUCUCUGGACUGUAACUGACGCUGAGGCUCGAAAGCGUGGGGAGCAA
rnacentral:rRNA from 1 species